CCCCUCUCAGAGUUGCACCUGGAGAGUUUUCAGUACUCUACCAGUCUCGGCUAUAGGAGGGAAAGUCAAGCAGAGGCAUAUCUAUUCCAUUCCUAGCUUGGGGCAGUGGCUAGCAAGUGGAAGACCAUCUGCUACAAGA